AGGGAAGUGUGAACACCCCUGCGUGUUGUCUCAUGAUUGUCUACAGCUGUUAAUGUAAGAAUCUGGGCUCCCUACCCUCUGAAGGGCUAGAGUUACUAACUGCAAAUAUUGCUUUUUGCAAGGUGGUUGGGAACUAAGAUGUGCCAAGGGUGGGAAGCAGGCAGCUUGAUAAGGCUGCCAAGGUCUUGGCCCUUUUGACAUUAUGCCAUGAAGAACCUGGCCCUUAAAAGAAGGGGUUCUUGAGAAGGGGAUCCUUAGCAGUUUCUUCUUCCUCUGUGUUAUCCAUUAGCAGGAUGCUAAUGGGGGAAGAACACUGACCUGGUGUUCCAGCUUGUGGCCUUCCUUGGUGUUAUGAGC
rnacentral:lncRNA from 1 species